UACGAAGGGGGCUAGCGUUGUUCGGAAUUACUGGGCGUAAAGCGCGUGUAGGCGGGCCUUUAAGUCAGGGGUGAAAUGCCAAGGCUCAACCUUGGAACUGCCUUUGAUACUGGAGACCUUGAGUCCGGGAGAGGUGAGUGGAAUUGCGAGUGUAGAGGUGAAAUUCGUAGAUAUUCGCAAGAACACCAGUGGCGAAGGCGGCUCACUGGCCCGAUACUGACGCUGAGGCACGAAAGCGUGGGGAGCAAACAGG
rnacentral:rRNA from 1 species